ensembl:snRNA U2 U2 spliceosomal RNA
AUUGCUUCUUGGCCUUUUGGCUAAGAUCAAGUGUAGUGUCUGCUCUUAUCAGUUUAAGAUCUGACACCUCCUCUAGCCAAACAGAUACCCAAAGAACAUUGAGCUACCACUAACAACUGCUAUUUAUCUUUCUUCCUGGGCCCAGAACUCAUAUCUCUCAGUCUUCUUUGCAGUUAGGCAGACUUGUGUGACUGAAUU